ensembl:lncRNA
CUUAACCAUUGGACCACGAGGGAAGUCCUCGAAAUGUAGUCUUAACUGCUCAUCCAGGAAUAUUCUGGUCAGGACCAAUGAGGUAAUCUUUCACAUGGCCCUCUCCAUCCUCCAAAGGAAGAUGAGAGUGCAGUCAUCAGCUGGAAGAAAUGAGAGCAGCUCUGAAUGCGGUGAUUCACUCAGCAUCUAAGUGGAAUAACUGAGAUGAAAAUUCUGAAUAUUACCUCUGGGUCCAGAGCACUCCCUCUUCCCUUAUCUGCUCACCUCCAUCACCUCUAAGAUGUGUUCACGUCCAUGAUUAAAUAAUCACUUCCAUAAUAAACUAUCUUCCUUCUUUUGAACUACUCUUAGGAUUUCUGCUCUACAAAGUAUUGAAACUUAAUUUUCUUUCUUCUCAGAAAUAUAUCUUUUUCAUUCAACUGCAAUGAAGUCAAAGUGUCUGGGGAAUGAAAUUCCUACAAUUAAAU